UAAGGAAAAAGAAAGAAUAAGAAGUCAACUUGAGCAGAGAGAGUGAGAAGCCUGGAGCAGAGGAUAAGCCAUAGCAGGAGGCGUCGUUGCAAAAUCCAAUAAUUGAAGUCAAGAUGAGAGUGGAGUCAGGACGGAGUUGCAGAAUCGGCGCACGGCCAGACCCAGGUGGAGUGGUGUACCUUGGGGCGGCUCUAGCUGGUCGCGGGAGAAGGAGUGUGUGGCUGCGCCAGACGCAAGAGGAGCGCCGAGCGCGCUGAUUGACCUCGUUCCGACAGACCAACGGCAUCCCUGCGCGGGUGCUGACCGCGAGUUGUCUUCCAUCACCACCGUUGUGUGAUGCAGCGGCAACUCCGCCCGCGGAUCCGGAGGUAAGAGUGACGCUGCCGCUGGUGUGGCGCCGACGUGUAGAGCCGAGCUGCUGGGGAGGGCGAGGUCGGCGACCGAUACCUGGGAAGAGCGGGGGGAGUCGAGUAUUGAGUGGGAGAAGUUCGAUUUUGACGGUGUAUGUGGUGGUGGAGAUCUACCUUCGGCCAAGAUUCGGCACAUUGGCUGGUGUGCUGCUCUUUUCCUCCCUAGCAUACAAGUGAGGGGUGGAAGGCGAACCAUGGAGAAGAACAGAAGCACCGAGCUGGACAGGGAGAUCUGUUAGUCCUGCCGUCGCUGGCUGGAGCACGAGGCGCCACCGAAGCUCGAACCGCACCACCGCACGGGCUCAAGAUGAAGCUGCGGGUAGUGCUGGAGCGGGAGAGCGCCGCCACGCUGGCUGGGCCUGGGAGAGCCUCUACGUGCUGUGGCGGGGGGUGCUGCUGAUUUUGCCAGUGAGCUUGUGGAUAAAGAAGAGCAAGGGGAAGCAUAUAGUUACAUUGAAUACAGAACCACGAAAGCUGAGUUGGGCCGAUCUGAUAUUAAUUGGUCUGGCUGGAAACCGGCAGCGUCCAUCUCCAAGAGGGGCGCAGAGGGGAGGCGGUAGAGGUUCCAGGGCAGGUUGUCGGUGCUUUGAUGAUGGAGGAUGAUGCGGCGCCCGAACUUGCCGAGCAUGUGGUACUUCCAGUCGGCGAACUCCUGGGUGAUAUUGUCAUCAUUGCGCUCGUCUCUGUCGUCCUCUCCAAGGUACAAUGAAAUACCUGCAUGAAUAAGGUUUUAUAUGUCUUAAGUCAAAUAAAUUACCUGAGCCUUCCAAACAUCUUAUUAAAAUAAAGUGAAAUGCACCUGAAAUUUUGAGUCAUGCUAAAUUUAACUUCUCUGUGUGUAAAUCAGAUAGACUGUAUAGUAUAUAAGAAUAAAAGGGAACCCAAAAGUAAUACAUGUCUAGGCUGGUCAUUCGAGCAAUGCCUAAGUCUAGAACAUAGGUAAACAUGGAAUAUCUUCAUUAUGUUCAUAUUUGACACGUAAAAUAAUAUGAAUGGCUAAUUAUAUUAAACCUUGUAGAAACUGCUCAGCAAACACAUCCGUAAAUAAGAAACAAAAAAUUUGUUUGAAAGCAACACCUGUAAUAAAGAACAAAAUCCCAUGCAGAAAAUUUGUUGUCUUAUUUAUAUGGUUAAUUGUUUACUCAAGAAAGACCUAAACAGUCAAUCACAUUGCAGAUAGAUAAAUAGCUUUACUUCUUACCAUUGUGCGUACUUGCAGUUAUACCUAAAACAAACUCAAUCAAAGCGAAACCAGGCAAUGAAAACUGUUAAAAUAUAGCCAACCCAAAUCACUAUGCAUAUCUGAAUCUGCAAAGCAGGAGCACUGGCAAUGCAUAAUACCCAAAAUCUAGGCGAGCAACAAUGCAAUGAAACACAGGUAAAGACAUGCAGUACAAAGGCCUUAUUCUAAAGCUAGAAAGCAAGAAAUGAUCAUAUAAGAAGAAAACACAUCAAUGCACAUCGUGCCGGGGGGUGGGGAACAUUAGAACACAGUUCAGAACAUCUUAUCAUGCAACUAUAACACGUGUACAUCAUGCCUAUACUCAUGUUUGUAUGUAUGUUUACACUGAACAUAAGUUUCUUAUUGCCUACUUGUCUGAACAUAGAUAAGUUGACAUUAGGACCUGCUAUUAGAUUGCUGUUUUCAGAAGAAAAAACACAUGUCUUUCAGUUGCCUACUUGUCUGAACAUAGAUAAUUUGACAUUAGGACCUGCAGUUAGAUUGCUGUUUUCAGAAGAAAAAAACAUGUCCUUCGCUGAAGUGCAAAACCUGGAAAGGUUGAGGCGAUAUAUACCUCUACUGAAGAGGGCGCCGCCUGGCUGCGGUGGCUUAAAACUUCAUGGCAUCAAAAUAGCGGUCAACGCAGCAAGCAGAUUGAUUUAGCGUUACCGCUGUCACUCGCAGUGGUCGAAAACUCCAUGCCGUGAAAAUGACAGCCGGCAAGGUGACAUGUGCCACCUCACCCUGUAGUCCAAUAAGUGCGAGCGAUGGCGAGGAGCAACCUGCGUCAGUGGCCGAGUACGAUUUUUCCGACAACCCAGAAAUCACGGCGGCGUCGAUAACCAAGAAGUUGUGGGGCUCAGGCUGGAGCUACACCAACAAAAAAAGAAGAGAAAUUAAAACAUCGCUAAAAAACCAAAUGAACUAAAGAUUACCAUCACCUGAUGCGGAUGGAAGAACAACCGGGAUGAGGACACCUCUCUAACCAGGCGAAGUAGGGAACAGAGAAGGUGGCGAGGAUGAGAAUCUAGGCCGCGGCUGACCGGGAAUCUCAGCCUCUCCAAUGCUGGAGAGGCUAGAGCGGCUGGUGAGGGGACGAAGCAGCCGAGCACCGCUCACCUCUUCUUCAACAACAUCAUGGGCACCCUGGUCAUCGUCUAGAUGGUUUCCAGGCCACGUUGCCUGAUGAAGAUGCAAGAACAUCCAUGAUGAGAGCACAUCACCGAACCAGACAAAGAAAUCUGUCAAGAAAACAAAAUGAUGAGUUGGAGAAAUUGGUGAAUGCAUGUACUGGUACGAUCAAGAAGGAACACAUCUAAGAAAGAGAACCCGACCUUCUCUUACCUCCGGCCCAACCACCAAUCCUUAUCAGGGCAGGCAGAUGCAAAAUUCAUUCUUUUUACUGCAUAAACAAAUCAGUGAGAAAAGAGGAAAAAUAUGUAGAGGCGUGAAAUCAUGAAUAUGCAGGCAGCAGCUGAACGCACCUUGGUCGCAUGAAGAUUAGCGGCACGGGCGUCCAGUCAAGUGAAUGGUGGUCUCCUGUAGUCUUCGGCGGCGGCGAUGAGAUGAUCAUACCGGCAGAUGAUGACAUCAAGAAAUUCCCGUAGCAGCGGCCAUGGAGGGCCUUCUUCCUCGCCGAUGGCUGCCGCGCCACCGCACGUACCGACGAAGGAGAUCGGCUAUGGAGGACGGCGAAGAGAGGUAGGAGAAGCAAAACGUGGGAGGCGGAUAUAUCGGCGAGAGUUUGGGCGAUGGGAAGAGGCGCUCCAGAAUUUGGUCUCGUAGGCUCUUCGGUCAAAGCGGUGGGAGAUGAGGCCCACACGGUAGUUAUUUCUAGAGGGAGGAAGAUCACGAUCGUGUGACAGAACCGGCAAGACCGGACAUCUAAGGUAAAAUAGAGGAAAAAAUAAACAGAAACCCUACAUAACCGGAUGCAUCUGUGUAGAGCAACCGGAAGCCUCCCGGUAACCACCCAUUGUAUACACGCAGAAAAAGGUGGAGCAAAACCACCAUCGCACAUCUGCAGGCCCUGAUCGCUCCUCUACAGUGAAAAAAGUGAACGUGGCCUCAACUGAUUCGUUAAAAUCUGUAAUUAAACAGUACCCAAAAUGCUCUCCUUGCAGCAAAUGGAGUCAGCUUUUAUAUAGGUUAUAAUAAUACCUACAUGUUUUAUGCACACUUUAUGUCAUAUUCGUGCAUUUUCUGAAACUAACCUAUUAACAAGAUGCCGAAGUGCCAGUUCCUGUUUUCUG